rnacentral:rRNA from 1 species
UGAGGAAUAUUGCGCAAUGGGCGAAAGCCUGACGCAGCCAUGCCGCGUGAAUGAUGAAGGUCUUCGGGUUGUAAAGCUCUUUUUACCAGGGACGAUAAUGACGGUACCUGGAGAAUAAGCCCCGGCUAACUUCGUGCCAGCAGCCGCGGUAAUACGAAGGGAGCUAGCGUUGUUCGGAAUCACUGGGCGUAAAGCGCACGUAGGCGGAUGUGUCAGUCAGGGGUGAAAUCCCGGAGCUCAACUUCGGAACUGCCCUUGAUACAGCACGUCUUGAGUCCGAUAGAGGUGGGUGGAAUUCCUAGUGUAGAGGUGAAAUUCGUAGAUAUUAGGAAGAACACCGGUGGCGAAGGCGGCCCACUGGAUCGGUACUGACGCUGAGGUGCGAAAGCGUGGGGAGCAAACAGGAUUAGAUACCCCAGUAGUCCCUGAGCGGGCUGGCAAGGCGCAU